GAUGAACGCUGGCGGCGUGCCUAAUACAUGCAAGUCGAGCGAACAGAUGAGGAGCUUGCUCCUCUGACGUUAGCGGCGGACGUGUGAGUAACACGUGGAUAACCUACCUAUAAGACUGGGAUAACUUCGGGAAACCGGAGCUAAUACCGGAUAAUAUAUUGAACCGCAUGGUUCAAUAGUGAAAGACGGCUUUGCUGUCACUUAUAGAUGGAUCCGCGCCGCAUUAGCUAGUUGGUAAGGUAACGGCUUACCAAGGCAACGAUGCGUAGCCGACCUGAGAGGGUGAUCGGCCACACUGGAACUGAGACACGGUCCAGACUCCUACGGGAGGCAGCAGUAGGGAAUCUUCCGCAAUGGGCGAAAGCCUGACGGAGCAACGCCGCGUGAGUGAUGAAGGUCUUCGGAUCGUAAAACUCUGUUAUUAGGGAAGAACAAAUGUGUAAGUAACUAUGCACGUCUUGACGGUACCUAAUCAGAAAGCAACGGCUAACUACGUG
rnacentral:rRNA from 1 species